rnacentral:rRNA from 1 species
UUGUUUGCAGGCUCAGAUACUGAUGACAUGGAGCACGACGAAUUGGAAGACUCAAGUCACAAUACCUAUGUCGACCAUGAUCCAUUGGACUAUGUCUACUCAAACCUCCCUGACCACACACACAUCCUGAAGCACGCCGCAAAUUGUGAUCACUGCAAGGCCAAGAAGUUUGUGUCUGAGGCCCCGGGAUUCUGCUGUCGCAGUGGGCAGAUCGAGCUGAAGCAACCGGAGCCCAUCCCGGAGCUAAUGAGGCUUUGGUCUAGCAUGGAUGCGGACUCAAGGCAUUUUCGGGAGAACAUACGGUUCUUCAACGGCCACUUCUCGUUCACAACCCUU